CCAGCCGAGCUCUGAUCGUUGCAGAGCAUGAGAAGAAGCAGAAGCUGGAGACGGACGCCAUGUUCCGGCUGGAGCAUGGCGAGGCCGACCGCAGCACACUCAAGAAGGCGCUGCCCACACUGAGCCACAUCCAGGAGGCCCAGAGCGCCUGGAAGGACGACUUCGCCCUCAACAGCAUGCUGCGGAGAAGGUUCCGGAGGCCAGCUCCCCCAGGGCAAGGGUUUUUCCCUGCCUGCCACUGUAUGCCGAGUGUCUAGAACAAAGCCUAGCACAAGGAAAAGAAAAAAGCCAUCCAGGAGGAGGAGGAGAGAGACCAGGCCUUGCAGGCCAAGGCGAGCCUGACCAUCCCGCUGGUGCCCGAGACGGAAGAUGACCGCAAGCUGGCGGCUCUGCUGAAGUUCCACACCCUGGACUCCUACGAGGACAAGCAGAAACUCAAGCGGACCGAAAUCAUCAGCCGCUCCUGGUUCCCCUCUGCCCCCGGAUCCGCCUCCAGCAGCAAGGUCAGCGGCGUCCUGAAGAAGCUGGCACAGAGCCGCAGAACCGCGCUUGCCACCUGCCCCAUCACCGUCGGGGACCUGGGCAUCGUGCGGCGGAGGUCUCGGGACGUCCCGGAGAGCCCCCAGCAUGCGGCCGACACCCCCAAGUCUGGGGAACCGCGGGUACCAGAGGAGGCUGCCCAGGACCGGCCCAUGUCCCCCGGAGACUGUCCUCCGGAAACAACUGAGACCCCCAAGUGCAGCAGGCCGAGGGGGC
rnacentral:sRNA from 1 species